rnacentral:misc_RNA from 1 species
GGAAAAGGGGAUUACAAUGUGGAAAAUCGAACUCUCACUAGCAAGUUUAACAUUCAGUAACCAACCAACUAAGCUACUAAGACUCUCCUAAGGUCAUAUACUCAGUAAGCUGAAAAUGCAUCAUAUGUUGCCUAAUCACCUCUCCUCAAUACUUCUUCGACCUACUUUCGCCUCUCCUCUACCGGGUCAUCCACACACCUCCUCCUCAAGUGUCCA